rnacentral:rRNA from 1 species
UUCCAGACUCCUACGGGAGGCAGCAGUGGGGAAUAUUGCACAAUGGGGGAAACCCUGAUGCAGCGACGCCGCGUGAGUGAGGAAGUAUUUCGGUAUGUAAAGCUCUAUCAGCAGGGAAGAAAAUGACGGUACCUGACUAAGAAGCCCCGGCUAACUACGUGCCAGCAGCCGCGGUAAUACGUAGGGGGCAAGCGUUAUCCGGAUUUACUGGGUGUAAAGGGAGCGUAGACGGACUUGCAAGUCUGAUGUGAAAAGCCGGGGCCCAACCCCGGAACUGCAUUGGAAACUGUAUAUCUAGAGUGUCGGAGAGGCAAGUGGAAUUCCUGGUGUAGCGGUGAAAUGCGUAGAUAUCAGGAGGAACACCAGUGGCGAAGGCGGCCUGCUGGGCUUUUACUGACGCUGAGGCUCGAAAGUGUGGGGAGCAAACAGGAUUAGAUACCCUUGUAAC